rnacentral:rRNA from 1 species
GCGUGGAUGAUGAAGGCCUUAGGGUUGUAAAGUCCUUUCGGCGGGGACGAUGAUGACGGUACCCGCAGAAGAAGCCCCGGCUAACUUCGUGCCAGCAGCCGCGGUAAUACGAAGGGGGCUAGCGUUGUUCGGAAUUACUGGGCGUAAAGGGCGCGUAGGCGGCCCUCCAAGUCAGAUGUGAAAGCCCCGGGCUUAACCUGGGAAUUGCAUUUGAGACUGUGGGGCUUGAGUUUCGGAGAGGUGGGUGGAAUUCCCAGUGUAGAGGUGAAAUUCGU